UACAUGGGGUGCAAACGUUGCUCGGAAUUAUUGGGCGUAAAGCGCGCGUAGGCGGUUACUUAAGUCGGAUGUGAAAGCCCUCGGCUUAACUGAGGAAGUGCACCCGAAACUGAGUAGCUAGAGUACGAAAGAGGGUCGCGGAAUUCCCGGUGUAGAGGUGAAAUUCGUAGAUAUCGGGAGGAACACCGGUGGCGAAGGCGGCGACCUGGGUCGAGACUGACGCUGAGGCGCGAAAGCGUGGGGAGCGAACCGG
rnacentral:rRNA from 1 species